UCCACCGAGCAGCAGUUAACUCAGAGAAAAAGCGCCUUUCCAUUGCCAGUCUUCACAGUCUAGCUUUAGGUAAAAAAGUUAGACCUGCCCCAGCUCUUGUCGAUGAACAACAUAUAUUGUCCUAUAACGAAGGAGGAUUCAGUGAUUUCCUUGACUUCAUUUCUGGAGAAGAUAUUGUGCAGGUAAAGUACAUAGAUAAAUUAAAAAUAAAUCCAUGAUGAUUAUAUAUAGUCCACGGACAGCAGAUAAUCUGUGCUAAAAUCCUAAGGUGUAUAACCAGUAGCCAUUUUUUCUAUGUACUUUGUGCCAAUAUCUAAGGGUGGGUGUUUGGUUCUUCACUGGUGCAUACUGAAUUCCGAACAGAACUAGUUCGAUUCAGUUCGGUUUUUUUCUAAUUCGGUUCGGUUCUUCGGUAUGCGCUUGAUAAGUACUUCUUACUGCAAACCCAAGGUUCACUAAAUCUGGGUUGAAGAGAAACCACCAUCAACGGAGGUAGACUGUGUAGAAACUGGGCUAGAGAUGGUGUGUGCAGCAUCACUUAUGUACACACGUUGUUAUUGUCUUAUAAAGAAACUGGUCUUUAUUCCCUACAUUCAAUCUUUCAUAGCAGUGUCCAACUUUUGCUCUUCUUAUUCUUUAUUGUUUCUAUUUUUUAAGAAUAAGAUUGAAUGUAUCAACAACUCUUGUUCAAAGUUUCCAUUUAAUAAUGAAAAUCCUCUGUUCUUAAAUACAUGUCUCUUGAGCGAUCACUGAUAUAUUUAGAUCAGCAUUAGAAGUUGAGUUUGAGGGAAGAAAAAAUCUUUAAGUGAGCUUGUACUAUAUAUCAUCAAAAUGUUGAUAAACAUGGACAUACAAGUAUAAUUAGGGGAAUAUAUGCCUAGAGAUAUGGUUCACUGAAAGGUCGCUGCAGUAUUCUACACUGAAGCUCCACAAAAUUUCAGUUCUUCAGUUAAGGACCCAAAAACCGAGAACCGAACACCAAAGUCUUAAAAAAUUUAAUACCGAAACCGAAGAAAUGAAUUAAUUUGGUCCAGUUUUUCAGUUAUUAUGCCUCUCCCUACUAAUAUCACUUGAGAGAGGCUCUCCUUUCUUCACGCUAGGGGGAUUUACUGUGAAAAAUAAGAAUAUAAGGAUCCAUAACUUUUGCAUCUCGGUAUAGCAGGACUUGAACUUGCGAUCUUUAUGACGCAUUAUCAGGACUGUGAAAAAGUCCAAGGUUGUACCAACUGAGCUACUAAUUAACAAAAUUAAGACGCAGCAUCAGGAUCUUCAAUAAGUCCAGUGAUUUACCUCAGUUAUCUAACAUCGUAUACUUCAGCAGAUAGAAGCCAGCAACUGGAAAAUUCAAAUAAUUUUCAAAGUGGAAUUAAGUUCUAAGUUCCAACAUAAACAUCUAGUUUGUAUACAUAUACAUCAAAAAUCACCUUCCACGUUUUGUUUAUAUAGCACAGAAGCAGCCAUAUACAUCAAAAUGACCUUCCACAUUUUGUUUAUAUAGCACAGAAGCAGCCAGCAUAACAAAACAGCUCUGAUAUUUUUGAAAAAGUCAACAGCUCUGAUAUUAAUAUAUCGUUUUUUAAAAUUACUUCAGGUUUUCUGUUGAGAAGUUUUCAUCGUAAGCCAACAGGAAGUAUGCCUUCAAACUCAAGUUCCAUGACUGAGGUAAUGCUCACAUAUGAUUUGGCUUAUGUUUCGACAUCCAAGCUGUUUUCCCUCCAACACUAUCCACUCAUUCCAAAGCACCUUCAAACUAACUUGAAAUUGUUGCAAAUCAAGGAAUAAAUUUUCAGGCAUUUACAUAUGAAUUUCUUUAACUAAAUUGGUUAUUUUAUAUAGUUUGUACAACUUACAAACUUGCAAUAUUUUCCACUUCCAAAAGGUUAUCACCAUGCAUAAUCAGAAUCAAUUGUUAAUAUUUCUCUAAAUGAACACAUGCACUUUGUUUAUCUUAAUUGUUUCAAUUUACUUCCAAUUAAUUCCUUAUGUCAGCUCAUGAUAUUUAAGAUUUAGUGAUCGUUAGUACAUAAUUCAAGCUAAUAAUGUACUGUUUCCAUCGUAGAAUAAUAGAUCAUCUCCUUAGAAAUAAGCACAACAUAUCCUCAUAUCUCGUAAUUAAAACAUCAUAUUUUCCCAAUUAUUUAAUCUAGAGAUGGCAAGAUUUCUGUUUUCCCCCAUUCAGAUAGGUGUGGAGAUUAAAUUUUCCUCCUUUAUUUGGAGCAAUUAGACAACUCUCCAAUUAUUUGAACAACAUCAUUGUUUAAUCACAACUACCCUUAUUUGUCCGGUGUUAAAGACUCUCCAAGGAGGAUAAUGGAUAACAGUUAAAAGCCAAAGACAUUCAAUAAUUCGACGAACAAAAACGCAGCACAUUAAUGUAUUUCAACUUUCAAGUAAGUUUAAGUAUUCAUUUUCCUCCUUGAUAUAACUAAGAAUUUUCUAAUUUCUUCAGCUAUUAACACCAUAUUUCUUAGAAAUACAGUUUACGAUGCAAUUUUAAGUGUAUUAAACAAAAUUAUCCCAACAUAUAUUCAGUACUAUAACAAAAAUCAUCUACUUGAAGUUACUAAAACAAUUGCUCGACUUCUUUCCCCUUUUGACGGUCAAAUCUUCUCAACAAAAUAUGAACAGAAAAAAUCAAAAUUGCAGAUAUACAUGAAUCUCACUAUAAUUAGUACAUUACACGCAACAAAAAAAAUCAUCAAAAAUACAGAAACUCUCCACUGUUCCAGGCCAAAAAAAAAACGCGGGAAAAGCACUUACGAUAAUCGAUUCAAAAAAUUAGCCGUCACUCUCUUCCUUCCUUACGUCUCCGCCGGCCAUCGCUAAGCCUCUUCUCCGUCGAAUUUCCUUCCUAACUUAUUCUGAUUAUUUUCAACUGAAGGUGGCUUUCGGG
rnacentral:lncRNA from 1 species